GACAGGCCGGCGGGGCGGGAGCCGCGGGGCCAGGGCUCCGAGCAGGCCGCCCGCCCGACUGCUGGCUCGCAGGCCCAGCCGCGCCUCCUCCGGCCUCCGGAAGCCGAGCCCGGCCGCGCCGAGCACUUUUCCAGAUAGGAUUCUGCUGAUGCUGACAAUGCGGCACUUGUAAACCUGAGCUUGGACCAGCGCGUCAACUUUGCUUAGCCAAUACAACCUAGUAAAAUCAGACGACACAAAUGUCAGCAUUUUAGGACUCAUGCCCAAGAGUGGGUUCUUAACACUUUGUUAAGGAGCCCUUGGAUGGGGGCCAAGAAUGGUGUGGAAGAAGAGGAACAAACACUAAGUUCAGGUGUCCUUUUUGUUGAGUUUGAAUGCCAGGGUGUUCUAGAAGUGGAAUUUUGCCAGGUUU